rnacentral:rRNA from 1 species
UACAGAGGUCUCGAGCGUUGUUCGGAUUCAUUGGGCGUAAAGGGUGCGUAGGUGGCGUGGUAAGUCUGGUGUGAAAUCCCCGGGGGCUCAACCCCGGAACUGCACUGGAUACUGCCAUGCUUGAGUACUGGAGAGGAGAUUGGAAUUUACGGUGUAGCAGUGAAAUGCGUAGAUAUCGUAAGGAAGACCAGUGGCGAAGGCGAAUCUCUGGACAGUUACUGACACUGAGGCACGAAGGCCAGGGGAGCAAACGGGG